rnacentral:rRNA from 1 species
UACGGAGGGUGCAAGCGUUGUCCGGAUUUAUUGGGUUUAAAGGGUGCGUAGGUGGCCUAUUAAGUCAGUGUUUAAAGUCUGCAGCUUAACUGUAGGAAUGGCAUUGAUACUGAUAGGCUUGAGUAAAGUUGAGGUAGGCGGAAUUGAAGGUGUAGCGGUGAAAUGCAUAGAUAUCUUCAAGAACACCGAUUGCGAAGGCAGCUUACUAAGCUUUAAACUGACACUGAGGCACGAAAGCGUGGGGAUCAAACAGG